rnacentral:rRNA from 1 species
UGGAUUUAUGGAAGACAUACUGUUGCGAAAGCGUUUGGCAAGGAUAUACCCAUUGAUCAAGGACGAAAGUUAGGGGAUCGAAGACGAUUAGAUACCGUCGUAGUCUUAACCAUAAACGAUGCCAUCUAAAAGAUGGUGUACUGAGAAGCUAUCGUACACCCUUUUUUUCCGGGAAACCAAAGUUUUUGGGUUCUGGGGGGAGUAUGGUCGCAAGAUUGGAACUUAAAGGAAUUGACGGAAGGGCACCACCAGGAGUGGAGCCUGCGGCUUAAUUUGACUCAACACGGGGCAACUUACCAGGUCCGGACAUUUUUAUGAUUGACAGAUUGAUAGCUCUUUCUUGAUUGAAUGGGUGGUGGUGCAUGGCCGUUCUUAGUUGGUGGAGUGAUUUGUCUGGUUAAUUCCGUUAACGAACGAGACCUUUUCCUGCCAAGUAGUAUUAUUUUGUGUCUUUUUGGCACGAUAUUUACUUCUUUGAGGUACUAUUCGUUUUUCACGGAUGGAAGUUGUAGGCAAUAACAGGUCUGUGAUGCCCUUUGAUGUCCUGGGCUGCACGCGGGCUACACUGAUGCACUCAAAGAGUUUUCAUUUACCUAUUCCUAUAGGACUUGGGUAAUCUUUGAACUUGCAUCGUGCUUGGGAUUGAAUACUGUAACUGUAUUUAUGAACGAGGAAUUCCUUGUAAUCGCGAGUCAUCAACUUGCGUUGAUUACUCCCCUUGCCCUUAAAA